CAGUAGUCACGAGUUUGAUCCUGGCUCAGAUUGAACGCUGGCGGAAUGCUUUACACAUGCAAGUCGAACGGUAGAGGGGGCAACCCCUUGAGAGUGGCGAACGGGUGAGUAAUAUAUCGGAACGUGCCCAGUCGUGGGGGAUAACGUAGCGAAAGCUACGCUAAUACCGCAUACGAUCUAUGGAUGAAAGCGGGGGAUCGCAAGACCUCGCGCGAUUGGAGCGGCCGAUAUCAGAUUAGGUAGUUGGUGAGGUAAAGGCUCACCAAGCCGACGAUCUGUAGCUGGUCUGAGAGGACGACCAGCCACACUGGGACUGAGACACGGCCCAGACUCCUACGGGAGGCAGCAGUGGGGGAAUAUUGGACAAUGGGCGAAAGCCUGAUCCAGCAAUGCCGCGUGAGUGAUGAAGGCCUUCGGGUUGUAAAGCUCUUUUACUCGGGACGAUAAUGACGGUACCGAGAGAAUAAGCCCCGGCUAACUCCGUG
rnacentral:rRNA from 1 species